CUAAUACCUAUGAACUAACACAUGAUUCUUUAUUGCUUUAAUACUCUGAAGCUCUCAGCUGGGUGAAGCCUCAAACGAGAACAUAUUGAAUGUAUUUCUGCUUCCAACCCUCUCUUCUUUUGGUUUGGUGAUACAGAGGGCUUUUGAGUAAUCUAUUUUUAAUAUACAUGAGAUCAAAUCAAGGAAAGCAAUUACUGAUGAAGAAAUGAUAGAGAUAAGAGAGAAGAGGCUGUUUUAGCUACUGGAGCCUCAACUUUGACUCUAGGAAAUGGACUGUGUUGUUUAAACUAUAUUUAUAUCAUAAUUUACAUAAGAUUGGAGGCAUUUUUAGUAGUUCCAUGUUUACAGGGCAAAAGUAUGUUAGAUCUUGCAAAAGAGCUCACGGAAAAAAGCUACCAAAUAUCUAACAGUUAAGGCUAUGAAGCAGUUUCUAGUAUGAUAAAAAAUCUGAAGUAAAAUGAGAUGUGGUGCAUAAAUGAGACACCUUUGUCUCUUUUCAGCCAUUUGGACAUUUUUUGAGUUCCCUGUUUGUUAACAAUAAAGAAUGUGAAAACCUUUUUUUGCCCCUUGCCUACUAGUGGCUCUCUUGCAAUAUUUCAAUGGAAGGAAUCCAAUUACUAGUGAAGACACAGCUGCUGGAUCAUCCGUGGACUUUAUCUUCAUAGCUUUCUUCUCUUAGUCCAUGGACCAUCAAGAACUGACUUCUCAAGUUUAAUUCUUUCAAUGCUUGAGGAGAAAGGACUCAAAGGGCUAUUUUUAGUGCGUUGAAGGUAAAAUUACAAUCAAAUUAAGAGAGACAGAAUAGGUAGCAACUGCCAGGCCUGACAGGCAAAGUCUGCUUUUCCUUUUUACGGCACCUGUGAAUGGUCAGACCCUUGUCCCUGAAACCCUGACCUACCCAUAACUCCAUGCUAGGCUGAGUGAAAAUCCUGCUCUGUUUCUACCUGCCUAAAGCUUCCCCAAUGGGACUUGGAGCGUGUCCUGCAACACUGUCUCCAGAUAGUUCUUCUUAGAAACCACAGACUUGUUUUGUAACCUUUUCUCAUGUUGAAUCAGAUCUGCUCACUGAUUGGAACAUUGGUUAUGAACUUGUAUCUCACUGUAUUUCUUAUGCUUUGUUCUUUUAAGCAAACCUUUAAAAUUGUGUUGUUUUGUGUACACAAAUGUGAGGUUUGGGAAAAAAAGAAAAAAAAACCUUGUGGUUUUUGCUCAAAAUGUGGCCUAAAUAUCCAUUGGCAUGUCUAGAUAAACAACUAAAAAUAAAGAUAAUUUCUUAAAAAUAUCACAAUAUGAAAAUAUCCUGAUUCUCACCAGGUAACGGGUUACCACUCAACUAAUCAGAUUCAAGCUCAAGAUCAAGAGCACAGCUGCAGACAUGGUCCAGGUGACUCAUUCCACUGGGGGCUGCCAUGUCCAUGAAGCCAUCAUUUGGCAGUUAGUACCAAGAUAAGGGAAAAGGGCCAUUUAGCUCUACAUUUAACCUUGAGUCCGAUAGUUUUCUGAUCCACAUUUGUCAAAUUCAUACAAAAUUGAAAAGGAGGUACAGUGUUUUAGGUUGUGUAAACAUAGCAGUCUCAAUUCAAGAAUUACUUGUGAAAAACAUGGCCUUGCAUUUUAGGAUUGGAGGCCACCAAGAACAAUUGAACAGUUCAGGCAGCGCAACUGAGUAUCUAAAUCCAUCCGGAAAGAGAGGAGAGAGAGAAAUACCACCCAGGUUUCCCAGAAACAGUCUUGUAUUUUUACAAAUUCUCUUUGCAUUCAUUCUGUUAAGAUUUGUAUUCAGAAUCUCACUUGAUUCCUUAACGCUUCCCCGUGUCUGAAUGUAAAGUCACUUUUUAGGUUGUCGACACUCUGUGUCAUCAAAUCAAAAUCAAAAGUGAGACCCAGUGGUGUUCCCAGGAAAUGUCAGGCAUGAUUUCAAAUAUACCAAGGAACUCAGCGGAAACAUCGUCAAAUGUGAGCAAUUGAAUUUCAUUCAACAAAUAUUGAUUGAGGAUCUACUAUGUGCCAGAGGUUGUGCUAGAUAGUUGGGAUAUAAAAAGACCCAAAUCCCUCCAGGAUCAUUCAGACUCAUGUCAGAGAUCGGCAUUACCAGUGAAUUCUUGGAAAUUUCGUGAGAACGUCUGUGAGAGCUCACCUCCUGGAGAAGAAUAUAAUAUAACACAGAUAGAUACACUUUGGAGGCAAAGUGGUCCCAAUCUUGAUUCUCUCACUAACUUACUCUGCAACUUCAGACGAAUUACUGAACCUCUACAAAACUAUUUCCAGACAAUAAUAUUUUUAUGGGGAGAGUUCCCGUUGUGGCUCAGCAGGUUAAGAACUCGACAUAGCAUCCAUGAGGACACGAGUUUGAUCACUGGUCUCACUCAGUGGGUUAAGAAGCUGGCGUUUUUGUCGCAGAUGCAGCUUAGAUCCCACAAUGCUGUGGCUGUGGUGUAGGCCAGCAGCUGUAGCUUCAAUUCAACUCCUAGCCCAGGAACUUCUAUAUGCUGCAGGUACGGCCCUAAAAAGAAAAAAAAUAAUAAUCAUUUUUUAAAAAGAGAUUGCAUACAAAAAGUACCCAGCACUCUAUAGGGUGUAGGAUGUACAUGAUAGGCUUUCAGGAGAUGCAAGUUCUUUCCUCUUAAAUUACAAGUAUUUGACAAAUAGCCAUUCAGCCAUGGGUAAGAAUGUGGAGGAUAUAUAGGGAGAAAUGGCCUAAAGAAAUGCUGGUGAUUAUUACACUGGGAUGUCAGACUCAUUUUUACAUUUUUUUAAAUAUUAAUUUUUGUGCUUAUUUAUUGGCAAGCUUGGGUAAAUAAAAUUACCUGAUGAAAACACUGCCUCAGCUACAGCCUACAUUUCUGUUUAGGCCUCUAUAUUCUAGAAUAGAAGAGAGUGUAUCUUUUGUUUGCAGUUCUGUCAGAAAUCUCUGCGAAGGAAACAGCUCCUACAAACAAAAGGACAGUCAUUUCUCUCCUUUGCUUUAUGCCACCAAAGCCCAAAUUCCAGCUGGUGAUGGCUCUGGUCCCUGUGUCAACACCCCCACCCCCCAAAAGGUUGCUGGGCUCUCCACAGACUCUGCAGGAGCAGGUGUGGGCUGACGCCUCCAGGAUGCACUCAUCCCCAAACAUGUUUUCAGCUAAUGCUUACUAUCAUUCCCAGAGCAGGACAGAAAGCAGAGGCAUUUCCUAACAAUGUGUCGGAGGAGGGAGAAGAUUCAGUCCCGCCUCCAUGGGAACAUAACGGACAAACAUUUGAAUACUGACUAAACAAGGAGCUUUUAGCUAUGAGGCACUCCACGAUGUCCCCCCACCCCCCGCCACCGCCCCACCACCUUAGGCAAACCAGAGAGAUUAUUAUAAAAAUGUUAAGUUUUAGCCGAUACGGUUUCAAGAUGCAUGAUUGCCUUGCUUAGUCAUCUAAGCAACAGUGUAUUUUUGAUUCAAUUGCCUGAAAUUCUUUCAAUUCUAGUAUUACAAGUGCUGAUUUAAUCUCUGGCAAUUUUUUUUUUCCUUUUAAGGAAGUGGUGCAGUGGAGUUUUAAAAGCGUGGGCUUCAGAGUCAGACAGACCAGAAUUCAAAUGCUGUUUAACCCCAGGCAGUUAAUGUAACCUCUCUGUGCCUUCAUUUCCUCAUGUAUAAAAUGAGAUUAACACCUAACUCCCAAGACAGUAUAAGGUCAAGAUUAGAGAGCAUACAUAAAUAUAUACAAUGGUUUCUCACAGAAAGGGGGUAUUGACAAAUAAAAAUUCUUACAUCAUUUAAAGAAAAAAAAAUCUACAAAGUGGGAGCUGGGAUAUGACUUUUGCUUAUUCUAGGUUGUACAUUUUUUGUACAAAAUAAAACACAAGAAUCAUUAAUAGACAUUGAGCAUAAUUAUAUUUACAGGUGGCCAGUCUGACUAUAAAACAACCCUUAAAAUACAAAAUAUUGUAGAAAAAAUGAUUAUAGAAGAGGACACUGUUCCUAGGGUACUAAGGAUACACCAAUAAGUCCAGGGACAAAUAAAGGGCUCUUUUUUUAUUGUAAAUUCUCCUCCCAGCCAAAGUCAAUCAGUCUGUUGAAUCCAAGCCUUUUCUAAAGCUAAGGAUCAUACGACUCUGUUUAUUUGGUUAACAAAACUUGAUAACCUGUCAAGUUUUCAUGAAUUCCAUUCAUAUCCUAUACAUUCUAUCCACAGAAAUUUCCAGGGGCCCUUCCCCAUUGUAAUGUUAGAUACUUUCUGGCCACUGACAGCAGAGGCAAAGAAUAUAGGGGAGUCUCUGUAAACAGAUGAUCCUAAAAUAGAUUCUGUUCUCCCAAACUCUGCUUGAAGAUGCAUUCACUAAAAGAUGGUUUUAAGUAUUCCUUGGGGGAAAAAAUGGCUUCGCAACCAAAGAAGUCUGAGAAACAAUGGAUUAAACACCCAGGUUUCUCUCCUGUACACUUCUCAGAACCACAGCUCCAACAAGACGAUAGAAAUGAUAUUGUUUGGAUCUAAUAAUGUUGGUUUCAUUAUCAUGAAGCUUUCCUUGACCACAUCAACCUAGAAUGCUCUCUCCAUUUACCAUUUUCUCUCUUCGUUUUUUAUUUGCUUUAGUUUUGUUAGUGAUUACUAGUAACUCAUUAUUAUUGAUAUAUGUGUGUAUUUUCUGCCCAACUUGAGACACAGUAUAACACUGUGGUUAACUGCCUGGCUUUGCACUUGAUUUCACCACAUACUAGGUGUCUGACCUUGGGCAAACUUCCAAAUGCUUUGUGCCUCAGUGUCUUCAUUGGUAAAAUGAUGAUAAAAAUAUCUAUUUCAUAGAGUUUCUGAAGAAUGAAAGAGUUCAUGCAUCUAAAGCACUUGGAACAGUGCCUGACAGACAGAAAGCACUCAGUAAGUAUUAGCAAAAACCACCAUCUCCCUUGACCCCUGAUCCGUAAGUUCACUGAUAACAAGAAUACUACCUUUUUUCAUAUUUUCUCCAUAAUGUAUAGUAUAAGAGGUGCAAAACAAAUAUUUCUUAACGGAAGAACGCAUUUUUGAUUGAUAAAUUGAAAAUCAUAUCAGAACAAUAGGUUAACAUUUAAAUCCAAAAAAAUUCCAGUUGGAACAAUAAUUGUGUCUCAAUACUUGGCACGCAGAUGUUGUUUUUCAAUAUUGCUAAUUUCUGUGUGGGGAACUUACAUUGUUUCUAGGAACAUGACUGAGGAAACCAGCAGAUUUUCUCCUCCUAGUUUAUGAGCCUCCUCUUCUGAGUGGUGAGCGCAAAGAUUAUUCCCCAGAAGGACUUAAUGCCCAGAGAGUUCUAGGUUUUUUUUGUUUGUUUGUUUUUUAUCCAAAUGGAAAAGAAACGUACAGAAACACCACUAAAUUGCUUCCUUUGCAGAGCUAAUAAAAGUCUCCUGUUGUAAUACACAAUCCAAGAAAAGACAGAGAUAAAUCCCAAUCCUUAUCUUUAAAAAAACAGCAUUGGAGCAGCAGAUGAGUCUCCUAUUUUAUCUUUGUUUCAAAUACUUAAGAUCACACAUGAGUGACUCCUGCUUUUUCUCCCAGUAUGCAAUUACCUGUGUGUUGUUUCAGUUGUCAACAAGGUAAGCCUAAUGGACCAAAAUGAAGGGUCAGUUCUUGGAGUUAUUUAUUCCUUCCUACUUCCCACGGCUAUAUUUUUAUUUGCACCUUUCUAACCCGAGAGUCAGACUUGACAUUUCAAUGGACUCUCCUCCACAUUUGAUGAAAAAUAACAUAUAAAUGAAAACGAAAUACCCAGAGUGCCAUAUACUAGGAUAAGUGAAAAAUAUAUUCUAGACUUGCAGACAAAUUUUCAAGUGUUAACCUGACUGACUUGGAGAAGAACAAAAAGUUCUGCCAGAUCUUUCCGUCCUCAGGUUAUGUAACACAGUCUGAGAUAUUUCUUAGACACUUCUCCUGACUUUGGUUAUUAAAAAUGUAUUAAUCAUCCCACUAAAAGCUUACCCCC
rnacentral:lncRNA from 1 species